CCUACGGGAGGCAGCAGUGGGGAAUAUUGCGCAAUGGACGAAAGUCUGACGCAGCAACGCCGCGUGAGGGAUGAAGUACAUCGAGAUGUAAACCUCUUUCAGCAGGGACGAAGCGAAAGUGACGGUACCUGCAGAAGAAGCACCGGCUAACUACGUGCCAGCAGCCGCGGUAAUACGUAGGGUGCAAGCGUUGUCCGGAUUUAUUGGGCGUAAAGGGCUCGUAGGCGGUCUGUCGCGUCGGAUGUGAAAACUCGGAGCUUAACUCCGGGCCUGCAUUCGAUACGGGCAGACUAGAGUUCGGUAGGGGAGACUGGAAUUUCUGGUGUAGCGGUGGAAUGCGCAGAUAUCAGGAAGAACACCGAUGGCGAAGGCAGGUCUCUGGGCCGAUACUGACGCUGAGGAGCGAAAGCAUGGGGAGCGAACAGGAUUAGAUACCCUGGUAGUCCAUGCCGUAAACGGUGGGCGCUAGGUGUGGGGAAUCAUCUACAUUCUCCGCGCCGCAGCUAACGCAUUAAGCGCCCCGCCUGGGGAGUACGGCCGCAAGGCUAAAACUCAAGGAAUUGACGGGG
rnacentral:rRNA from 1 species